rnacentral:rRNA from 1 species
GAAAGAAUCCUAAAUGUUGGAGGGUUUCCGCCCUUCAAUGCUGCAUCUAGACGCAUAUAAGUACUCCCCGUGGAGAAUAGCACCGCAGGGUUGAAUCUCAGGAGAAUAGAGGGGGGCCCGCACAAGCGGGGGAAUGUGUGGUUUUUUUAUAAGCUACGCAAAAAAUCUUACCACGUCUUGAUGUCUUCUGCCAACCUAAGAUAUUAGGCGUUCCCUUCGGGGACAGAAUGACAGGUGGUGCAUGGUUGUCGUCAGCUCGUGUCGUGAGAUGUUGGGUUAAGUCCCGCAACGAGCGCAACCCUUAUUACUAGUUGCCACCAUUCGGUUGGGCACUCUAAUGAGACUGCCGGUGACAAACCAGAGGAAGGAGGGGACGACGUCAAAUCAUCAUGCCCCUUAUGACCUGGGCUACACACGUGCUACAAUGGAUGGUAGAACGAGUCGCGAAACCGCGAAGUUUAUCUAAUCUCUUAAAACCAUUCUCAGAUCGGACUGUACGCUGCAACUCGCCUACACGAAAUCGGAAUCGCUAGUAAUCGCGGAUCAUCAUGCCGCGGUGAAUACGUUCCCGGGCCUUGUACACACCGCCCGUCACACCAUGAGAGUUUGUAACACCCAAAGCCGGUGGGGUAACCUUUUAGGAGCUACCCGUCUAAGGUGGGACAGAUGAUUAGGGUGAAGUCGUGAACAAGUAAACCGUAAA